AUUGAACGCUGGCGGCAGGCCUAACACAUGCAAGUCGAGCGGAUGAAGGGAGCUUGCUCCUGGAUUCAGCGGCGGACGGGUGAGUAAUGCCUAGGAAUCUGCCUGGUAGUGGGGGAUAACGUCCGGAAACGGGCGCUAAUACCGCAUACGUCCUGAGGGAGAAAGUGGGGGAUCUUCGGACCUCACGCUAUCAGCUGAGCCUAGGUCGGAUUAGCUAGUUGGUGGGGUAAAGGCCUACCAAGGCGACGAUCCGUAACUGGUCUGAGAGGAUGAUCAGUCAAACUGGAACUGAGACACGGUCCAGACUCCUACGGGAGGCAGCAGUGGGGAAUAUUGGACAAUGGGCGAAAGCCUGAUCCAGCCAUGCCGCGUGUGUGAAGAAGGUCUUCGGAUUGUAAAGCACUUUAAGUUGGGAGGAAGGGAAGUAAGUUAAUACCUUGAUGUUUUGACGUUACCAACAGAAUAAGCACCGGCUAACUUCGUG
rnacentral:rRNA from 1 species